rnacentral:tRNA from 1 species
GAGAUAUUAGUAAAGUAUUACGUGACUUUGUCAAAGUUAAAUCACAAGUGAAAAUCUUGUAUAUCUCC